rnacentral:tRNA from 1 species
CAAAUUAAAGCUUUUAUAGUUUUUCAUUUACAUUGAAAAGAGUCUUUUUUUUAGAUGAUUUGA